rnacentral:lncRNA from 1 species
AUGCGCUGUGCACAGCGCCCCCGCGCCCCGCGCACCCGCUACCCCACCCGAGCCCCCAGCGGCCCGCGUCCCCCAUCCCGGUCCCAAGCCCAGACACCUCCGAGAUCCGUCCCCCGGCUCCGGCCGGCGCCACCGCCACCCUCAAGACCCCCGCAGCCCAGGCCCGGCCCCGCGCCACCGACGCCCCCCGCGGCCCGACCCGCGCGCCCCGCCAGCCCGGGCCUCGUACCGUAGGUUUCGGACAUGGCCGUCUGCGACAUCUUGGGAGCGGCGCCGCCUCUCGCCGGGUCACCGGCUGCACUCGCCCGCGGUCCGCCGGCGCGUCUCGGUGGGGAAGGACCUGGGGCGGGGGACCGGAGGAGGGAGGGGCCCGACCGGUCCCCACGGCAACCGCCGGUCUCCCAGCGGCUGCGGCCCAGCCGGACUCCAGCUCCGCGCAGGCGCAGGGCCCUCCACCCUCCGUCCGGCCGCGACCGCGAGGAGGAAGAGGAGAUGGGCUACGCGAGGCCCGGCCCACCCCGCGUUCGCGCGUGCGCACGGGGAGGCCGGGGCGGGGCGCGUGAGGACUUCGGCGCGCGCCGGAAGCACGUGCGCGGGCUGGGCGCUCUGGCGGUGUGCGCUGAGGUGGGCAGAGCGGCAGGUGGGGGCGUUGGGGGCUGAGUCCCGAUUUCCC